GAUGAACGCUGGCGGCGUGCCUAAUACAUGCAAGUCGAGCGAACAGACGAGGAGCUUGCUCGUCUGACGUUAGCGGCGGACGGGUGAGUAACACGUGGAUAACCUACCUAUAAGACUGGGAUAACUUCGGGAAACCGGAUCUAAUACCGGAUAAUAUAUUGAACCGCAUGGUUCAAUAGUGAAAGACGGUUUUGCUGUCACUUAUAGAUGGAUCCGCGCCGCAUUAGCUAGUUGGUAAGGUAACGGCUUACCAAGGCGACGAUGCGUAGCCGACCUGAGAGGGUGAUCAGCCACACUGGAACUGAGACACGGUCCAGACUCCUACGGGAGGCAGCAGUAGGGAAUCUUCCGCAAUGGGCGAAAGCCUGACGGAGCAACGCCGCGUGAGUGAUGAAGGUCUUCGGAUCGUAAAACUCUGUUAUUAGGGAAGAACAAAUGUGUAAGUAACUAUGCACGUAUUGACGGUACCUAAUCAGAAAGCCACGGCUAACUACGUG
rnacentral:rRNA from 1 species